rnacentral:ncRNA from 1 species
GAAAAUGUGUUGAAGGGGAGUAGUACAACGAACGACUCCUUCCAGAGAGGGAAAUCGCAGGCUGGAAGAUUUCCUAGGAGAUCCCGUUGGAAAGUCGCCCUGGAGCAGCUUCCUUGAAAGCUUUUAGUAAAGGGAGCCGGCAUUAGCCGUUACCUGAAAGAAGUGCACAGAUGUAUCUGUGAAAAAAGGUGGUACCGCGAAAACAUCUCCUUUCGUCCUUUUA